GCCCAUCACUGAAUCUCAAAGGCCUCGCCUUUAGAGAAAUGUAGUGUUUGAGAGGGUUCUCAUACCUGUGAGAGAAUUUUCUUCGAGUCCAAGUUCAUCUUGAACGAGGCCACGGUCCCGAGAGGGUGCCAGCCCCGUAUUUGACCGAAGUCUCUCACUGGUGAACUUCUCCUCAGAGUCGGGUUGCUUGAGAGUGCAGCCCUAAGUAGGUGGUAAACUCCAUCUAAGGCUAAAUAUAACCACGAGACCGAUAGUGAACAAGUACCGUGAGGGAAAGUUGAAAAGAACUUUGAAGAGAGAGUUCAAGAGUACGUGAAACCGUUCAGGGGUAAACGGAAAAGACCUGAAAUUCCUGUUGAAGAGAUUCACGGCUUUGCGCUUUUUUUUUCCUCCUACUCUUGGCCGGAUGACUUUUUUGGCCCUCGAUCGGUUCUCGUAACUGUUGUCGAUGGGUCGUGUCGCCGGUCUAUGGAGUUUCUAAGUGAGGAGAGCGAAAGACUGCACUUCUCUUCUGAAUGGACGUCGCGAUCCGUUGGCUUGUGAUCAUUUACAAAGGGCUCGACUGAAGCGUCUGGAGAAGAGUCUCUUUUUAACGAAGAGAAAUGACUGAUCCAGCUCAGUUCCGAUGACCCUAAUCAUAUGUGAUGAACCGACGGUAUCGAAAAAAGGACAAUGUCGAACCGCUCUUUUUUUUUGAGAGCGCCUCAGAGGUCGACGGCAGGUUACGGUCUUGGGUACGCGCUUCACAAUUGAAGUUGUACACUGAACCUGGUCUGUAAAUCGUGUCGAUUUCUCUCUUGAGGCUGGUCUCGAAUUUACCAUUGAUCCGCGGCGAUUCAGUUUUGGGCUCUUAUCCGACCCGUCUUGAAACACGGACCAAGGAGUUUAGCGUGUACGCGAGUCAAUGAGUAUACACUAAACUUAAAGGCGAAACAAAAGUGAAGGCUUUCCUUUGAAAGGGAGCUGAGGGAAGAUGUGAUGACUCGCUCGUCAAAAAGCAGUCACUCCGCAUUCCCGGGGCGUUCUUCUCUCAUUGCGAGAGUGGGCGCACCCAGAGCGUACACGCUGAUACCCGAAAGAUGGUGAACUAUGCCUGGCCAGGAUGAAGCCAGGGGAAACCCUGGUGGAGGUCCGAAGCGAUUCUGACGUGCAAAUCGAUCGUCGGAGCUGGGUUUAGGGGCGAAAGACCAAUCGAACCAUCUAGUAGCUGGUUCCCUCUGAAGUUUCCCUCAGGAUAGCUUGCUUUCAGAGAAAAAUAUUGAGUCUCAUCCGGUAGAGCGAAUGAUUAGAGGCCUUGGGGUCGGAAUGACCUCAACCUAUUCUCAAACUCCAAAUAAAUGAGAUUUCCGGCUUGCUUGUGAAAUGAAGCCGCUGAAAUUGGAUCUAGAAAGCAAAGUGGGCCAAUACUGGUAAGCAGAACUGGCGCUGUGGAAUGAACCAAACGCCGAGUUAAGGUGCCUAAAUUGAUGCUCAUGUGAAACCAUGAAAGGUGUUGGUUGCUCAUGACAGCAGGACGCUGACCAUGGAAGUCGGAAUGCGCUAAGGAGUGUGUAACAACUCACCUGCCGAAGCAACUAGCCCUGAAAAUGGAUGGCGCUGAAGCGUUGUACCUAUACUCGGCCGUCAAUGGCAAUUGGUGCGGUGAAAGGGUAGCAAUACUUUUUCGCGAGCCCAUUAAGCUUUGACGAGUAAGAGGGUCGCGGCGAUGAGCGUAGAAGGGCUUGGACGUGAGUCCGCCUGGAGCCGUCGUCGGUGCAGAUCUUGGUGGUAGUAGCAAAUACUCCAACGAGGCCCUGGAGGACUGAUGUGGAGAAGGGUUUCUUGUGAACAGCCUUUGCACAAGAGUCAGUCGAUCCUAAGCCCUAGAAGAAAUCCGAAGCGAUGGGUUGCCGUUAAGCAAACAAAGAAGGCACCUGUCAGGGCGAAAGGGAAUCCGGUUCUCAUUCCGGAACCCGGUAGCGGAACCGUUCCAAAUCGAGCUCUAUUCAUGAGAACUCGUCAGGGCAACCUGUCAAGACCCGGAGAUGCCGUCGGGUGAUUCGGGGAGAGUUGUCUCUUCUCUGUAAGCGUUCGAGUUCCCUGGAAACCUCUAACAGUGAGAUAGGGUUUGGAACGCGAAGAGCACCGCAGUUACAGUGGUGUCCGAAUUCACCCCACGGACCUUGAAAAUCCGGGGGAGGGCUACGAGGAACCCGCGCCGGUUCGUACCCAUAUCCGCAGCAGGUCUCCAAGGUGAAAAGCCUCUAGUCGAUGGAAUAAUGUAGGUAAGGGAAGUCGGCAAAUUUGAUCCGUAACUUCGGGAUAAGGAUUGGCUCUGAGGAUCGUGGCGAGCCGGGCUUGGUCGGGAAGUGGAGUCGUGUCAAUGUGCCGAGGGGUUUGAACGAGGGAGAAAAAGAGGAAGUUUCCUUACUUACUACUUUUUCUUUCGAGCUCUAUUCCGCUGGCUUCGACCGCCCACGGAUCUUCCUCGCUGGGAGCUAUUUCAGUACAGCCUAGUAGC
rnacentral:rRNA from 1 species